UCGAGAAUUUUUCACAAUGGGCGAAAGCCUGAUGGAGCGACGCCGCGUGGGGGAUGAAGGGCUUCGGCUCGUAAACCCCUGUCAUUUGCGAACAAAGGCUGCAACCUAACACGUUGCAUUCUGAUAGUAGCAGAAGAGGAAGGGACGGCUAACUCUGUGCCAGCAGCCGCGGUAAUACAGAGGUCCCAAGCGUUGUUCGGAUUCACUGGGCGUAAAGGGUGCGUAGGUGGUAAACUAAGUCGGGUGUGAAAUCUCCGGGCUCAACCCGGAUGGUGCGCCCGAAACUGGUUUGCUAGAGGGUGGGAGGGGAGACUGGAAUUCUCGGUGUAGCAGUGAAAUGCGUAGAUAUCGAGAGGAACACCGGUGGCGAAGGCGAGUCUCUGGACCAUACCUGACACUGAAUCACGAAAGCCGGGGGAGCAAACAGG
rnacentral:rRNA from 1 species